rnacentral:tRNA from 1 species
GCCUGGCUGGCUCAGUCAGUAGAGCAUCAGACUCCGAAUCUGAGAGACAUGAGUUUGAGCCCCACACUGGGCA